rnacentral:lncRNA from 1 species
GAGUGUGCAUAUGUAAGUGCAUAUGUGAGUGUUGUGUGUGCACGUAUGUGUGCAUGUUAGUGUGUGUGAAUGUAUGCGUGUUACGGAUUGUGAAUGCAUGAGUGUGUACGUGUAUAUAAGUGUGCAUGCGUGUGAACAUGAUAAAUGUGUGAGUGUAUGUAUGAGUAUGUAUGAAACUGUGCGUGUGUGUAUGUGUUGGGGGGACACGUGGGAGCAGGGAGAACAACUGUCGAGCCCUGAGCCUGGCCCCGUUUUCCUUGGAGCUGCCAAGUGGUGAUUCUGUAGCAGCCUAAGGCCCCACUUGGAGACCUGGAUGGGACCCCAGGGGGCCCAAGCAUGGGGACUCCCCAAGGGACCAAGUGGCUGAGUUCCGACUCUGAGUGCAGUGUCCACCAAGGCAGAGCAGCAGAGCAAGCACAGAGGGAAGCCACGAUUUGAGCAGUUCAUGCCCAGGUCUGCCUCUGACCUGCUAGCCAUAUGGUCCUAGGUGAGUUUCUCAACCUCUGUGAGCCUCAGCCCCUCACCUGCGGCAGGUGACCAAGGCACCCCCUCAGCAGCGUUGCGAGGCUCAAAGGAGAGGUAUGGGGUGUCUGCUUCUGGAAAUGAUACAUGACAGGCACUCAGGCCAUCAGGACCUCAAGGCUGCUGCUUCCUCAGUGGUGCCACCUCCAAGCUACUCUCAGUGCCCGGGUAUCAGCUCUGUACUGAUGCCAAGCCCCACGGUAGCCACGCCCAGAGCGAGGCUUCAUGAUGAGUGGCUUUGGCCCUUGUAAGUGUGUUGGGAACGAUUUCCAGAGCUGCAAUGGCCUUUGAACCGUCCUGAUAAAUAUUUCAAUCAGAGAGAAAAAGAAUCUGCCUGAUAAGCUUUGUUCAGGCUGGAGCUGGGCCUGGGAAGUGGAGGCAUCCAGGCCCUUCCCGCUCCCAGAUCCCUGCAGCCCGGCCCUUCUCCAGGUGGUGGCUGUCAUUCCUGCCCCAGGGCCUGGGAGAAGCAGAGAUGCCACAGCUGUGGCCAUGCUCAUAAAAGAAGAUUCAUGGAAUCAGGGCCCCCUCUCCCCAACCUCUAGGACCCCAUCCAGGGCCUUCCAACAGGAGUCUCUUUGGCUGGGCAAGAUGCCAUACUCUAGUCCAAAGUCUGUCUUGGAUGCGGGGACAUGAGAAGUAGCUUUGGCGACUAUGUUACCGGAACAGACUUCUUUUUUUUUUUUUUUGAUUUCAUAAUCUUUUUAAUUUAUAAUGAUCUUGUAGGAUCCAAUAGCUCUAAUUGUGCUCUAAUUUUAAAAAACGCUUGGCUGAAGUUUGGCAGUUUAAAAAAUUUCAACUCAACUUUGUGUGUGUGCGUGUGUGUGUCUGUGUGUGUCUUUUUAGGGCUGCAUCCAUAACAUAGGGAAGUUCCCAGGAAUGAUAAAAAGCAAAAAAAAAAAAAAAAAAAAAAAAAAAAAAAUAGUAACCAAAAAUGCACCAGCACCUAUAGCCACUAACCAUCACUCACCUUUAGAAUGCAGUGAAGAAAAUGCCGUGGCUGGUCUCCUGGGGUCCGUUUCAAUACUCCAGGGAGAAUUAUCUGUUAAGUCCACAAAGCAUCUGGACUCAUAUUCCAUAUGUGGAGCCCGGAAAGAAGAGAGAAAGUCCUCGUUGGAAGAGAUUUUCUUUCUUUCUUUUUUUCUUUUGUGGCCUCCCUAUGGCACAUGGAGAUCCCGGGCCAAGGAUCAGAUCUGAGCCACAGUUGCAACCCAGGCUGCAGCUGUGGCAAUGUGGGAUCCUUAACCCACUGGGCCAGGCCAGGGAUCGAACCUGAGUCCCAGCUCUACCAAGACGCUGCUGAUCCCAGUGUGCUACAGCAGGAAUUCUUCAACCUGUGCUCGCCAAGUCUAAGGGGGACCCUCCCCUCCCAGGGCCUUCUUGGGUAAUGUUUCUGAAAUGACUCAGUGGGCUAUUUCCACCAGCCUUCACCUUCAGUAUUAAUACCCAUACCUCCCUUUCUACCGGAAAUGUCUUUUAUAAUUAUGUAAUUACACACCUCAUUUAUCCAAUUGUAAAGCCCAGAGACUGAUUAAAUAUUAACAACCGCUUGGUUCUUGCGGAGUCCUUAGUUGGAACACAACCCUGUAAUCUCAGGUAACACGCAAUGCUAAUUAUCCUUCCCAUCCACACAUGGCUGAAAACCCAGAGCCAUUAAUCCAGAUAAGGUUGCCCGCUAGAAAAAUGCACUGCCUUUAAAUCCUGUUUUAUCUCCGCAGCCCCCAGCAAGGUGCAUUUCAACCCAGCUCAGGGUUUUUAAGCCUAAAGCUGCCGGUUGCUGGGUAAUGGCUGGGGGCGGGGCAGGCAUGAUAAAUGGAUCAAUUCCCACAGAUCCACCCCUCGCCAGCCCUAAAUCCCACUGGCCUUCGGAGUUAAACCGGGACCUUUACCUGAAGCACCGAGAUGGAGGAUCUGGUUCAGUGCGGGCAUCCCUCAGUUCAGAAACCAGUGCUGUGGCCAGCAGCGUGUGCCCUGUUUAUGCCCUGUGGGCCAAGAUGCUGUGGGAAGCUGGGUCCUGGGUCCCGUGAGCUGAGCCGCUGCCAGGCUUGCAAAGGGUCCUUCCAGACCAGCCUUUUCCUUCAGGCCUUCCAAACCCUCUCCCUCCAGACCCUCGGCUUCUCCACCCACUUUCCCUGCUUUUCCACAUCCUGUGACCUCUUCCAUCCUACUCUCCCCACCC